CACAAGCGGUGGAGCAUUGUGGUUUAAUUCGAAGCAACGCGAAGAACCUUACCAGGUCUUGACAUCCCGAUGCUAUUUCUAGAGAUAGAAAGUUACUUCGGUACAUCGGUGACAGGUGGUGCAUGGUUGUCGUCAGCUCGUGUCGUGAGAUGUUGGGUUAAGUCCCGCAACGAGCGCAACCCCUGCAUUCAGUUGCCAACGGUAAGGCCGGGCACUCUGGAUGGACUGCCGGCGACAAGCCGGAGGAAGGUGGGAUGACGUCAAGUCAUCAUGGCCCUUAUGUCCAGGGCGACACACGUGCUACAAUGGCCGGCACAGCGGGAAGCGAGGGGGCGACCUUGAGCGGAUCCCUCAAAGCCGGUCUCAGUUCGGAUUGCAGGCUGCAACUCGCCUGCAUGAAGCCGGAAUCGCUAGUAAUCGCGGAUCAGCAUACCGCGGUGAAUACGUUCCCGGGCCUU
rnacentral:rRNA from 1 species